GACGAACGCUGGCGGCGUGCUUAACACAUGCAAGUCGAACGGAAAGGCCCUGCUUUUGUGGGGUGCUCGAGUGGCGAACGGGUGAGUAACACGUGAGUAACCUGCCCUUGACUUUGGGAUAACUUCAGGAAACUGGGGCUAAUACCGGAUAGGAGCUCCUGCUGCAUGGUGGGGGUUGGAAAGUUUCGGCGGUUGGGGAUGGACUCGCGGCUUAUCAGCUUGUUGGUGGGGUAGUGGCUUACCAAGGCUUUGACGGGUAGGCGGCCUGGGAGGGGGACCGGCCACAUGGGGACUGAGAUACGGCCCAGUCUCCUACGGGAGGCAGCAGGGGGGAAUAUUGCGCAGUGGGCGGAAGCCUGAUGCAGCAACGCCGCGUGCGGGAUGACGGCCUUCGGGUUGUAAACCGCUUUCGCCUGUGACGAAGCGUGAGUGACGGUAAUGGGUAAAGAAGCACCGGCUAACUACGUG
rnacentral:rRNA from 1 species